UGUGCAGAUGCCAGAGAGGGGCUUCAGCUUCCACGCAUCACCCUAGCGCUAAGGAGCCGCGCCCCACCGGAAGUGUUGCCGUGCCUCUGUGAGCCUCAGUCUCCCCGUCUUUUAGAUGGGGUUUACAAUCCCUGCCGCUUGCCGACAUCACAGGGCUGCUACAGGUGACCAGGCGCUCUGAUGACUGUCAAGGGCCCAGCAUUACAAAACUGGGCUGACACCAGACUUGAACCACGCUCAUCCCGCAGCUUAGGGACCUUGCGCUCCCCUGGGCUUCCCCACAACCACACGAGCUGACACAGCCCUUCCCUGAGCACACAUUUGCCCUCGACACCACCUGGCUGUCCAGGUUCCUGACAGAGAUAUCCCGCCUUGGACAGGAUUGCUUUCCUUCUGACUGGAGAGAGCUCGGGUUUGUGACUGCAUACCUUCGUCUCCACUCCUGCUUGUGCUGGCAGAAGCAGAGGAAUGAGAGAGCCCUGGAGGAACCGAACGGCGGGCAGCCUGAGCUCACAGCUGAUCAGGAGCCCCAGAGAAGGGACCCCUCGAGUGAACUCUAGGAGCCCAAGAUAUUUAAAAGAGAAAUAGGGUGCAAGAUUCAGAAGCGCUGUCAGGUUCAGAU
rnacentral:lncRNA from 1 species